AGUGAACGCUGGCGGUAGGCCUAACACAUGCAAGUCGAACGGCAGCACAGUAAGAGCUUGCUCUUACGGGUGGCGAGUGGCGGACGGGUGAGGAAUACAUCGGAAUCUACUUUUUCGUGGGGAUAACGUAGGGAAACUUACGCUAAUACCGCAUACGACCUACGGGUGAAAGCAGGGGAUCUUCGGGCCUUGCGCGAUUGAAUGAGCCGAUGUCGGAUUAGCUAGUUGGCGGGGUAAAGGCCCACCAAGGCGACGAUCCGUAGCUGGUCUGAGAGGAUGAUCAGCCACACUGGAACUGAGACACGGUCCAGACUCCUAAGGGAGGCAGCAGUGGGGAAUAUUGGACAAUGGGCGCAAGCCUGAUCCAGCCAUACCGCGUGGGUGAAGAAGGCCUUCGGGUUGUAAAGCCCUUUUGUUGGGAAAGAAAAGCAGCAGGUUAAUACCCCGCUGUUCUGACGGUACCCAAAGAAUAAGCACCGGCUAACUUCGUG
rnacentral:rRNA from 1 species